UAUUAUUAUUUGCCUUUUGUACCUUUUAUUGUUCUUGUUUUGUUGUUUUGAUUAUUGUUGUUGUUUUGUAACUCAGGGCAUUGCUGUAAAAGAGCCUGAUC